rnacentral:rRNA from 1 species
UGAGGAAUCUUGCGCAAUGGGCGAAAGCCUGACGCAGCGACGCCGCGUGGAGGAUGAAGGCCUUCGGGUCGUAAACUCCUGUCGAGCGGGACGAAGCUUGGGGGGUUAAUAGCCUUUCAAGUUGACGGUACCGCUGGAGGAAGCCCCGGCUAACUCCGUGCCAGCAGCCGCGGUAAUACGGAGGGGGCCAGCGUUGUUCGGAAUCAUUGGGCGUAAAGGGCGCCUAGGUGGCCAGGCAAGUCGAAUGUGAAAGCCCCCGGCUCAACCGGGGAAUUGCAUCCGAGACUGCCUAGCUCGAGUCCUGGAGAGGGUAGCGGAAUUCCCAGUGUAGCGGUGAAAUGCGUAGAUACUGGGAGGAACACCGGUGGCGAAGGCGGCUACCUGGACAGGUACUGACACUGACGCGCGAAAGCGUGGGGAGCAAACAGGAUUAGAUACCCUGGUAGUCCACGCUGUAAACGAUGGGCACUUGGUGUUGCGGGUAUCGA